AGACCUUAACCUGCUAAAUAGCCCGGCUGGCUUCUGCAAGUCGUUGGCUUCUUAGAGGGACUAUCGGCUCAAGCCGAUGGAAGUUUGAGGCAAUAACAGGUUAACCUUCACAGGCCUGUUGAAGUGGGCCUCACUAAAGAUAACCGCUAGUCCAACAUCUUAAUCUCUUUUGGGGAAGCUCCCCUACUGUCGGGAUGAGACAAUUCGUACGAAUUGUGAUGUGGGCAACACUACCUGAUACAGGGAAAGCC
rnacentral:rRNA from 1 species